AGAGUUUGAUCAUGGCUCAGGACGAACGCUGGCGGCGUGCUUAACACAUGCAAGUCGAGCGAUGAAGUUUCUUCGGAAAUGGAUUAGCGGCGAACGGGUGAGGAACACGUGAAGAAUCUGCCCUCCACUUUGGGAUAACACCGGGAAACCGGUGCUAAUACCGAAUAUUGAAACAUAAGUGGCAUCACUGAGUUUUGAAAGAAUUUCGGUGGAGGAUGACUUCGCGGCCUAUCAGCUAGUUGGUGAGGUAAUGGCUCACCAAGGCAACGACGGGUAGCCGGCCUGAGAGGGCGACCGGCCACACUGGGACUGAGACACGGCCCAGACUCCUACGGGAGGCAGCAGUGGGGAAUAUUGGGCAAUGGAGGAAACUCUGACCCAGCGACGCCGCGUGCGGGAUGAAGGCCUUCGGGUUGUAAACCGCUUUCAGUAGGGAAGAAGCGAAAGUGACGGUACCUACAAAAGAAGCACCGGCUAACUAUGUGCCAGCAGCCGCGGUAAUACAUAGGGUGCAAGCGUUGUCCGGAAUUAUUGGGCGUAAAGAGCUCGUAGGUCGUUUGUUACGUCGGAUGUGAAAACCUGAGGCUCAACCUCAGGCCUGCAUUCGAUACGGGUAAACUAGAGUUUGGUAGGGGAGACUGGAAUUCCUGGUGUAGCGGUGGAAUGCGCAGAUAUCAGGAGGAACACCAAUGGCGAAGGCAGGUCUCUGGGCCAAUACUGACACUGAGGAGCGAAAGUCUGGGGAGCGAACAGGAUUAGAUACCCUGGUAGUCCAGACCGUAAACGGUGGGCACUAGUUGUGGGAACCUUCCACGGUUUCUGCGACGCAGCUAACGCAUUAAGUGCCCCGCCUGGGGAGUACGAUCGCAAGAUUAAAACUCAAGGAAUUGACGGGCCCGCACAAGCAGCGGAGCAUGCGGCUUAAUU
rnacentral:rRNA from 1 species